CUCUCGCUCUCGCUCUCUCUCUCGCUCUCUCUCUCGCUCUCUGAUUUUCCUUUCCUUUUCAUCUGAACUGUAAUUCAUAAUUCAGUUACACAUAUUUUCUUUCUUCCUUUCUCUUGUUCAUCAUGGCAUAUUUUCAAAGCUCAGAAUCAGAUUUUGAUCAGUUCUGUCAGAAAGCUGCUUGUAUUAACAGGGAACUUGAACUCGAAGCUCAAUGCUGAACUUGAAGAAGUUGCCAAGGAAGCUGAAGUCCUUCAAAGGUUCAACACUUCACAGUUGAAAAGGAAGACCAAAGGAAGGCCUGUCAAACUCUUGUUUGUGGAGAGGGAUGAAUUUGACCAUCUUGUGUUUACGGAGAAGACCAAAAGCUGCAAAGGCAAACAUUUCCAAUGGAUUUCUCACAGAUUACUUAGUCCUUCUCCAUCAGCUCAACACAAUAGCAGCCCUUCCAAAAGCAUCCACAUCGCUCUCUCUUGUGUGGCAUGUCUGCUCUCAGUCCUUAGCAUGUCUACUUGUAUUAUUUCUCCUCUAGUCAACACUCCCAUCUCUACUGUGAACACUCCUGUCACUAUCACCAUCCCACCUACUGUAUUCUACAUGCCAAUUAAUUCAAAAUG
ensembl:lncRNA